rnacentral:tRNA from 1 species
GCCCGGAUGGUCUAGUGGUAAGAAAUCCAAACGAAAAUUUCAUCUAGCCAUUUUCUAACCCAGAUAUAGGUAUGAUUCUCGCUUUGGGUUAACGCUUAUCUGCGAGAGGCCCCGCGUUCAAAUCGCGGUUCGGGCC